UCAUCAGAGAGUAAGUCAGAGUCCGGAAAAAGAGGCGGCUACCUUAGGGCUAGAUUAGGGAACCAGAUGUUCCGUUCACAGCUGACGUUCCAGGUAAACUUGGAUGCCCAUAUUUACUAGUUCUGCUGUUCAUAUUAUUAUUAUUUUAUUAUAUUAUAAUAUUAUAAAAUUAUUAUUAUUAUUAUUAUUAGAAUAUUACUAUCAUUCUUACGUAAUUGUUAUUGUUAUUAUUAUUAGAAUAUUAUUAUUAUUGUUGUGAUGUUAUUAUUAUGAUUAUUAUUAUUAUUAUAUUUUUGUUUAGUGUUAUAUUGUUGUCCUAGGCCUUCCCGAACCAGUACCUGCACUUGAGCCAGCUGGAGUGCUCAGCCCGACCUUAGAGUCAUCUCGGCCGGAGGUGGCUGUGGAAAAGGGAAAGGAUGGGACGGUGUGGACCAUCCUUCAGUCAACUGAACGUCCAGGGAGAAGGCAGAGCCAAAAUGUUCUGACUGAAGCUGCCGGUCCCACCGCGCACGCGAAGCGCAACAUCGAAGAUGCGCUCACUGCCUUUCUGUGUUUGUUUGACGAUGGCAUGUUGAAACACAUCAGAGACUGCACUGUGGCUGAGGCACAUCAGCACCGUGGUGACAGCCCAUAGGACCUGACAGAGGCUGAACUGAAAGCCUUCAUAGCUCUGUUAUAUAUCCGUGGAGCACAGGGUGCGAAGAACAUGGAUUUGGGAAGCCUUUGGUCGUAGAAAUGGGGCUUCCCGUUUUUCAAAGAAACCAUAGCCAGAAAUCGCUUCAGGGAGAUAAUGAGAUUCCUGCGGUUCGAUAAAAAAGAAACCCGACGUGUGCGUCUGCAGGAUGACAGGUUUGCCCUGGUAUCGGCCACUUGGAACAAGUUUAUUCAGAACAGCGUAGCCUGUUACAAGCCCGGUGCCGACAUAACCAUAGAUGAGCAGCUGUUCCCCACCAAGGCCCGGUGCAGAUUUCUUCAGUACAUGGGGAAUAAGCCUGAUAAAUUUGGCAUCAAAUUUUGGCUGGCUGCUGAUGUCCAUUCGAAAUACAUGCUGAACGGGGUUCCGUUUCUGGGUAAAGAAGAGGCACGGAGCAGAGGUCAGCUCGUGGGAGAGAGUGUGGUGCUGAAACUGGCGGAGCCAUUCUUGGGAGAGUCGUUUACAUCCUUCCACUUCCAAUUCAGGAUUGGGGCUACAACAGUCUCAUUGAUUAUUA
ensembl:lncRNA